AUUGAACGCUGGCGGCAGGCCUAACACAUGCAAGUCGAACGAGUGGCGGACGGGUGAGUAAUGUCUGGGAAACGGCCUGCGGGAGGGGGAUAACAACUGGAAACGGUAGCUAAUACCGCACACCAUCACCUGUGCCCGGGUGGGAGUAGCUAGUUGGUGGGGUAACGGCUCACCAAGGUGACGAUCCCUAGCUGGUCUGAGAGGAUGACCAGCCACACUGGAACUGAGACACGGUCCAGACUCCUACGGGAGGCAGCAGUGGGGAAUAUUGCACAAUGGGCGAAAGCCUGAUGCAGCCAUGCCGCGUGUGUGAAGAAGGCCUUCGGGUUGUAAAGUACUUUAAGCGGGGAGGCGUUACCCGCAGAAGAAGCACCGGCUAACUCCGUGCCAGCAGCCGCGGUAAUAC
rnacentral:rRNA from 1 species